UGACAAAUAGGACCUUUUUGAAACUCCCACUUAAUAGCAGUCCUAAAUAUGAUUUAAAAAGUUUAAUAUCAGUCCAUUGAAGCAAAGAAAGUGGAAAAUCCUCAACCGUUAAUUGGUCCAGAUGCUAAUGGACAUCAAGAUCAAUUUACUCAGACCACUUGACAAAGUCUCCAACCGGGCAUUGAGUGUGGCCAACAGCCAUUUCCGGGAUUUUUCUAAAAGAAUCGCACGAGUCGUUUUCUCACGACUCUCAAUGAAUCAGCCAUUUCAAAUUCCGUCGCGAAAAUUUCAUUAGAAAAUUUCGAUUUUUAUUCCGUUUAACGUCCCAAUUCGAGCCUGUCCAAGAUGAGCGUAAAAUAAAUUCACAAGCCAUGCCAUAUUUAUUGCUGGAAUGACAGUGGAAGCGAUUGAGUCUGUAAAUAGGCAAAAUUAUCGUGCGGAACCGAAUCAUUUUGGACACCUAAUAGUUUAGGAGCAAAUACAUCGUCCCAGCGCAUUUCAUAAGCCUCAUUUUGCUGUAAACGAUAAAAGAAUAAUGAAACCACCGAGUGAGGCAAAAACACAAAAUUUGUUCCACUUUUGAUGGCUAGCGAGAUUCAGGAGCAUGGUACGGAGUUUAAAGAGUACCGUGACUGCUUCCACGAUUCUAUUAGUCAAGAGCGGUAUCACAAUUUUACCAUUGAUCAUUCUUCUAAUUGCUUCAACAUCUGUUUGAUGAAAUAUAUAGCGCUUCUUGGUUUUAUUUUUAUUGACCUCUGAAAAUCCAUACAUAUAUCAUCGCGGAAUCACUGCGGACUCCUAAAAAAAACAAUCGUUAACUUACUGGCUAAGACAGGCAGCACUGCCCAGAGGGCUCAAGCCAUCACUCGGCAUCAGGCAAAGUGCCUAUUAAAACAAAAAUUUGAAUUGCGUUAGUGAUAUUAACACUAUCUAUAUUUGCGAUAAUCAAGUUGACCUUUUACUUUCAUUCAGUGUCUGGAUUUAAUCUUAAAUAUUUUUUACAAAUGCCACUUGAUUAUUUAAUGUUAUAGUUGUGUUGUUUUGUCUUCUUUAAUUCGAUAUUACGAUUGAUUGGUGCAAUACAUUCCGAAUUUGCGACUUUAUCCGCCUUCAACUCCACCACAUUACGCAAACAUAGGUGUUACCCACGUCACCCACAAAUUUCAACGCCAAAAGUCCCGCCCAAUCGACCUCCAAAGAUUGUAGGUCAAUUUCACCUGAAACUUUUCACCGAGCUUCCAGAAAAAUACCCGAUCUUGGCUCGAUACUCAUAUAACCUUUAAUACUUCUGCUCGGGAUUCGGAAUUUUUUUCGAGUAGUCCGGGUAAUUCGGAGAUUCUGAAUGCUUCCCGGGCUCUAGUUCGUGCAGUCUCUCCUUAUCCCAAUAGAUGGACU